GAGAGGAAGCCCACGGCGGGCAGGGGCGGCCGGGUAUGACAAUCGCCGUGCGGCCCCGGGGCAGCUCCCGGAGGGGGCAGCCCAGACCCACCCCACCCGCCGGCUGCUGUCUCCUCCCGAGCUCGGCGCUGCCCCCUACAGGCCGCGUGGUCCCUCCUCGGUCGCCCCCUGACCCACCAUGAGCCGCCUAGCUCCCUGUCGAGAUUGCCGCCGUCGCGGCUGCUGUCACCGAGGCCGGGUCAUCGGGCCGCGGGGACCUCAAAGCCGAGUGGACGGGAGCCCCAAGUCAUUGCCUAUCCUUCGCCUCCCCAGAGCUGCUGCAACUGUCAGUCACCCACCCGGAACCCCGAGGGGCAACUACCAAGUAGGCCUCGGGGCCCGGAACAAGGGUCCCGGGGCUCAGGAUCUCGGCCGCUGCGCCUCACUCCUGCCCCAGCCCCGCGCACGGAACUCGUUUCCUUCCCACCCAGUUCGGGACACUCCUCUCUGACUUCCCCAGUAGGAUCUCACUUGCAGCGCUACAGCCAGUCCCUCUUCUGGUUCUCACGCACCCACUUAAGGCGGAGUGACUGGCCUAAAAGUCCAAGCUGAUCGUGUGGCUUCCGUUCGUAAAUAUCUCCCCUGGAUCUCCCUCCCUGGAGCCAGACAAGACUCAAAACUCCGAAGGGAAUGCAGUCCCCGCAGGGCGCAAAGGAGAAACUAAUAGUCCAGAGGCGGGGUGAACUUAAAGACCUGGCUUUCAUUAGCGUGGUGUUGUAACAGACUGCCAAGGAGCCUCUGAGGAAAUGGAUUUACGUACAUAUACAUACUCGCCCUUGCCCCUGAAGCAACAUCAAAUACUUUCAUGUUAUUCUUGGGGGCGUUUUAAUUCUUCCGAUCCUCUGAAUUCGUGUUUUUGUACAUCUCUUUCCAACCUGGGCCUACACACUAACAGAAAUAGUUUUUUACAUCGAAGGACAAUGCUUAGUGUUUUAUUCAGUCUCAGCUCUUUUCUUUCUUUUUUC